GAUUUAGGGUUUUAGGGACUUGGGUUGACUUUGGUCAAAGUUGACCAAAAAGUCAACUGUUGACCAAAGUUAACAUUUGGUCAAAAGUUGCCAAGACUUGUAAUUUUUCAUGUAAUGAUCAAUGUAAUGGUUUAUAGAUGGUUAUUUGGAAGUUAAAUGUUUCUCAAGUUGUUUUUAUUUUACAAUGGAUUUUGUAUUUGUAUGUGCUUGAAUUGAAAUGAACAUGGUCAUGACUUG
rnacentral:lncRNA from 1 species